rnacentral:rRNA from 1 species
GUAGUCCACGCCGUAAACGUUGGGAACUAGAUGUGGGGGCCAUUCCACGGCUUCCGUGUCGCAGCUAACGCAUUAAGUUCCCCGCCUGGGGAGUACGGCCGCAAGGCUAAAACUCAAAGGAAUUGACGGGGGCCCGCACAAGCGGCGGAGCAUGCGGAUUAAUUCGAUGCAACGCGAAGAACCUUACCAAGGCUUGACAUAUACGAGAACGCUGCAGAAAUGUAGAACUCUUUGGACACUCGUAUACAGGUGGUGCAUGGUUGUCGUCAGCUCGUGUCGUGAGAUGUUGGGUUAAGUCCCGCAACGAGCGCAACCCUCGUUCUAUGUUGCCAGCACGUUAUGGUGGGAACUCAUAGGAGACUGCCGGGGUCAACUCGGAGGAAGGUGGGGAUGACGUCAAAUCAUCAUGCCCCUUAUGUCUUGGGCUUCACGCAUGCUACAAUGGCCGGUACAAAGGGCUGCAAUACCGCAAGGUGGAGCGAAUCCCAAAAAGCCGGUCUCAGUUCGGAUUGAGGUCUGCAACUCGACCUCAUGAAGUCGGAGUCGCUAGUAAUCGUGGAUCAGCAACGCCACGGUGAAUA